GUUGAUAAGGUUAAGUGAAUAAGGGCGCACGGUGGAUGCCUUGGCACUAGGAGCCGAUGAAGGACGGGACUAACACCGAUAUGCUUUGGGGAGCUGUAAGUAAGCUAUGAUCCAGAGAUUUCCGAAUGGGGGAACCCAAUAUCUUUUAUAGGAUAUUACUUUUCAGUGAAUACAUAGCUGAUUAGAGGUAGACGCAGAGAACUGAAACAUCUUAGUACCUGCAGGAAGAGAAAGAAAAUUCGAUUCCCUGAGUAGCGGCGAGCGAAACGGGAAGAGCCCAAACCAACAAGCUUGCUUGUUGGGGUUGUAGGACUCCGAUAUGGUAGUCUGUUAGUAUAGUUGAAGGAUUUGGAAAAUUCCGCUAAAGAGGGUGAAAGCCCCGUAGACGAAAUGCUGACAACACCUAGGAGGAUCCUGAGUACGGCGGAACACGAGAAAUUCCGUCGGAAUCCGCGGGGACCAUCCCGCAAGGCUAAAUACUCCCUAGUGACCGAUAGUGAACCAGUACCGUGAGGGAAAGGUGAAAAGCACCCCGGAAGGGGAGUGAAAUAGAUCCUGAAACCGUGUGCCUACAACAAGUCAAAGCUCGUUAAUGAGUGAUGGCGUGCCUUUUGUAGAAUGAACCGGCGAGUUACGAUUGCAUGCGAGGUUAAGUCGAAGAGACGGAGCCGCAGCGAAAGCGAGUCUGAAUAGGGCGAAUGAGUAUGUAGUCGUAGACCCGAAACCAUGUGAUCUACCCAUGUCCAGGUUGAAGGUGCGGUAAAACGCACUGGAGGACCGAACCCACGUACGUUGAAAAGUGCGGGGAUGAGGUGUGGGUAGCGGAGAAAUUCCAAACGAACUUGGAGAUAGCUGGUUCUCUCCGAAAUAGCUUUAGGGCUAGCCUCGGAAUUGAGAAUGAUGGAGGUAGAGCACUGUUUGGACUAGGGGCCCAUCUCGGGUUACCGAAUUCAGAUAAACUCCGAAUGCCAUUCAUUUAUAUCCGGGAGUCAGACUGCGAGUGAUAAGAUCCGUAGUCGAAAGGGAAACAGCCCAGACCACCAGCUAAGGUCCCAAAAUAUAUGUUAAGUGGAAAAGGAUGUGGGGUUGCACAGACAACUAGGAUGUUGGCUUAGAAGCAGCCACCAUUUAAAGAGUGCGUAAUAGCUCACUAGUCGAGUGACCCUGCGCCGAAAAUGUACCGGGGCUAAACAUAUUACCGAAGCUGUGGACUACACCAUUAGGUGUAGUGGUAGGAGAGCGUUCUAAGGGCGUUGAAGGUCGAUCGUGAGGACGGCUGGAGCGCUUAGAAGUGAGAAUGCCGGUAUGAGUAGCGAAAGACAGGUGAGAAUCCUGUCCACCGUAUGACUAAGGUUUCCUGGGGAAGGCUCGUCCGCCCAGGGUUAGUCGGGACCUAAGCCGA
rnacentral:rRNA from 1 species